UACGUAGGGUGCAAGCGUUAUCCGGAAUCACUGGGCGUAAAGCGUACGUAGGCGGAAGCUUAAGUGUGAUGUUAAAUCGUGUGGCUCAACCAUAUCGAUGCAUCGCAUACUGGGUUUCUAGAGGACGGCAGAGGCAAGUGGAACUCGUAGUGUAGCGGUAAAAUGCGUAGAUAUUACGAAGAACACCAAUGGCGAAGGCAGCUUGCUGGGCCAUUUCUGACGCUGAGGUACGAAAGCGUGGGGAGCGAACAGG
rnacentral:rRNA from 1 species